rnacentral:tRNA from 1 species
GAGGGCAUAGCCUAGUGGUAGAGUGCAUGCCUAGCAUGCACAAGGUCCUGGGUUCAAUCCCCAGCACCUCCA